UGAGCCAGUAAAUAUUACCUGGCCUCACUCUGCAGGAAGGAGCAGCCCAGAAUGCCUGCACCUGCUACUGAAGAUAACAGGCUGCAAUAAUUCACUGUCCAGAUGCAGCAAGGAGCGUGGAAGAGUUUGAGGACAUCCAGGAUGAGCUCCCUCUUCUUUGCCUCCAGAGUCUCCUCCAAGGUUGCCUCUCGAUUCCCCUUCCCUUCUUGAUCCCUCACUUUGCCUCCCCCUCUGCCAACCCCUCCCCAGCAACUGAGUGGCAGAAACAUCUCUCCUACCCUGAAUUAAAGCAAAAAGCCUUUCUGUGAGCCUGA
rnacentral:lncRNA from 1 species